UGGGGAAUUUUGGACAAUGGGCGCAAGCCUGAUCCAGCAAUGCCGCGUGCAGGAUGAAGGCCUUCGGGUUGUAAACUGCUUUUGUACGGAACGAAAAAGCUCUCUCUAAUACAGGGGGUGAAUGACGGUACCGUAAGAAUAAGCACCGGCUAACUACGUGCCAGCAGCCGCGGUAAUACGUAGGGUGCAAGCGUUAAUCGGAAUUACUGGGCGUAAAGCGUGCGCAGGCGGUUAUGCAAGACAGGUGUGAAAUCCCCGGGCUCAACCUGGGAACUGCACUUGUGACUGCAUGACUAGAGUGCGUCAGAGGGAGGUGGAAUUCCGCGUGUAGCAGUGAAAUGCGUAGAGAUGCGGAGGAACACCGAUGGCGAAGGCAGCCUCCUGGGAUGACACUGACGCUCAUGCACGAAAGCGUGGGGAGCAAACA
rnacentral:rRNA from 1 species